CAACUUUCAACAACGGAUCUCUUGGUUCUGGCAUCGAUGAAGAACGCAGCGAAAUGCGAUAAGUAGUGUGAAUUUGCAGAAUUCAGUGAAUCAUCGAAUCUUUGAACGCACAUUGCGCCCCUUGGUAUUCCAUGGGGCAUGCCUGUUCGAGCGUCAUUU
rnacentral:rRNA from 2 species